rnacentral:misc_RNA from 1 species
GGAAGGGAAAAGCUAGGUAAGCAACCGUAGUCGUAGAUCAAAUGUGAACGCUCUCCCGCCACCUUGGUUAAAAAAUGACAAUGCGUCGAUCGCUUGCUUUCAUUCUUCUUCUCCGAUAAAGACACCUCAAAAUAAACAUCCUCUCUUUCUACUGCACCGGCCGACAAUGCCAACGGCCUCUUCAUCUCUCUUCCUCCUCUGUUUCCUCUGUCUCUUCUCUGUCCUCAAAUCGCAAUCCGACCAGCUUCAAAUUCUCCUCAACCUCAAAACCGCACUUCAAAAGUCUAGUACCAAUGUUUUCGAUUCAUGGGAUUCUAGUCGUUUCAUCUGUAACUUUACUGGAAUCGCCUGCAAUUCAGGUAAUUCAGUCACUGAAAUUGAACUCUCAAAUCAAAACUUAGUUGGGGUUGUUCCUUUCGAUUUAAUAUGCAAGCUCCAAUCCUUGGAAAAGCUCUCGCUUGGCUUCAAUUCAUUGUCGGGUAGAGUCACAGAUGACUUGAAUAAGUGCACAAAUUUGCAAUAUUUAGACCUUGGCAAUAAUCUUUUCAGCGGUCCUUUUCCAGAAUUUUCUUCUUUGAGCCAAUUACAGCACUUGUUCUUAAACCAAAGUGGGUUCUCGGGUGUUUUCCCAUGGAAAUCCCUGGAAAAUAUCACGGGUCUUGUCACGCUGAGUUUAGGAGACAAUCCCUUCGAUCUAACUCCAUUUCCAUCGGAGGUUGUUAAGCUAACCAAGCUGAAUUGGCUUUACUUAGCGAAUUGCAGCAUCGGUGGCAUGAUUCCACGUGAUAUUGGAAAUCUUUCCGAGCUGAUAAGCUUGGAACUUUCCGAUAAUAAUAUAUCCGGCGAGAUUCCAUCGCAGAUAGGAAUGCUCAAGAACCUCUGGGAGCUGGAACUCUACAACAACAGCUUGAUUGGAAAAUUACCGGUUGGAAUAGGAAACCUUACAAAACUGGAGAAAUUCGACGCGUCCAUGAACUAUCUGGAAGGCAAUUUGUCUGAAUUGAGAUUCUUGACUAAUCUGGUAACUCUGCAGCUAUUCGAGAACGAGCUUUCUGGUGCAAUACCGGCGGAGUUUGGCCAGUUCAAGAAACUUGUAAAUCUUUCUCUGUACGGGAACAAGUUAACCGGUCCUCUUCCUCCGCAGCUUGGUUCUUGGGCAAAUUUUAUUUUCAUUGAUGUGUCAGAGAAUUUCUUGACAGGUCUGAUUCCACCAGAUAUGUGCAAGGAGGGGACCAUGAAGCAGCUUCUCAUACUCCAAAACAACCUCACCGGGGAAAUUCCAGCUAGUUAUGCGAGCUGUACUACGUUGGAGAGAUUCAGAGUAAGUAAAAACUCGCUUUCGGGCACUGUUCCUACUGGAAUUUGGGGAUUGCCCAACGUGAACAUAAUCGAUAUCGAGUUUAAUCAAUUUGAAGGCCCGGUGACUCCUGAUAUUAGGAACGCCAAAGCUCUCGGGCAGUUGUUCCUCGGAAACAACCAAUUAUCCGGUGAAUUGCCAGAGGAGACUUCGGAAGCUACAUCAUUGGUUUCGAUACAGCUAAACGAUAAUCAGUUUUCGGGGAAGAUACCGGAGGCAAUUGGGGAACUUAAGCAACUGAGCAGCCUUCAUCUGCAGAACAAUAUGUUCUCUGGUUCAAUUCCAGAGUCUCUAGGCUCUUGUGACUCUCUCAGCGAUCUAAACAUUGCUCAUAAUUUGCUUUCUGGUGAAAUCCCAUCCUCGUUAGGAUCUCUACCGACUCUAAAUUCUCUGAAUUUAUCUGAGAAUCAACUUUCAGGUCAAAUUCCAGACACCUUGUCGUCUUUGAGGCUAAGCCUCCUUGAUCUAACCCACAAUAGAUUAACCGGUCGCAUACCUCAAUCUCUGUCAAUCGAGGCAUAUAAUGGAAGUUUUGCUGGAAAUUCUGGCCUCUGCAGUCAAACAGUGAGCACUUUUCAGAGAUGCAAGCCUGAAUCCGGGAUGCCCAGAGAUGUCCGUACGCUCAUUGCUUGCUUUGCUGUAGGUGCAGCAAUAUUGCUUCUCUCACUUGUAUACUUCUUGCACUUAAAGAAGAAAGAAAAGGAUCAUGAACGCUCAUUGAAGGAAGAAUCUUGGGACGUAAAGUCCUUCCAUGUGUUAAGCUUCGGUGAGGAUGAGAUUCUUGAUUCCAUAAAGGAAGAGAAUUUAAUAGGAAAAGGAGGGUCCGGAAACGUGUACAAAGUAGCACUUGCAAAUGGUAAAGAACUUGCUGUGAAACAUAUUUGGAACGCAGAUUCCAGUGGCCGGAAGAAGAGCUGGAGCACCACCUCACCGAUGCUUGCUAAACGGGGAGGAAAGUCUAAAGAAUUUGAUGCAGAGGUGCAGACCUUGAGCUCAAUAAGGCAUGUCAAUGUGGUGAAGCUGUAUU